UCUGUUACAGUGUUAUUGCACGUAAAAAUUUGAUUUUUAAAGAGAUGAUAUCAUCUAUCAGAA
rnacentral:tRNA from 1 species